UACGAAGGGGGCUAGCGUUGUUCGGAGUUACUGGGCGUAAAGGGCGCGUAGGCGGCGCACCAAGUCAGGCGUGAAAGCCCUGGGCUCAACCCGGGAAUUGCGCUUGAGACUGGUGUGCUUGAGUACGGGAGAGGAUAGUGGAAUUCCCAGUGUAGAGGUGAAAUUCGUAGAUAUUGGGAAGAACACCGGUGGCGCAAGCGGCUUGCUGGGCUGUAACUGACGCUGAGGAACGAAGGCUAGGGGAGCGAAUGGG
rnacentral:rRNA from 1 species